CCACUGGAACGGUGGCUAAUACCGGAUGUGCCGGAAGGUGAAAGGCUUGCUGCCUGAAGAUGAGCUCGCGUCCGAUUAGCUAGUAGGUGGGGUAAGAGCCUACCUAGGCGACGAUCGGUAGCUGGUCUGAGAGGAUGACCAGCCACACUGGGACUGAAACACGGCCCAGACUCCUACGGGAGGNAGCAGUGGGAAAUUUUCCGCAAUGGGCGAAAGCCUGACGGAGCAAUACCGCGUGAGGGAGGAAGGCUCUUGGGUUGUAAACCUCUUUUCUCAGGGANGAACACAAUGACGGUACCUGAGGAAUCAGCAUCGGCUAACUCCGUGCCAGCAGCCGCGGUAAUACGG
rnacentral:rRNA from 1 species